rnacentral:rRNA from 1 species
UCAUCUUCGGGGGUAGAGCACUGUUUCGGCUAGGGGGUCAUCCCGACUUACCAACCCGAUGCAAACUACGAAUACCGAAGAAUGUUAUCACGGGAGACACACGGCGGGUGCUAACGUCCGUCGUGAAGAGGGAAACAACCCAGACCGCCAGCUAAGGUCCCAAAGUCAUGGUUAAGUGGGAAACGAUGUGGGAAGGCCCAGACAGCCAGGAUGUUGGCUUAGAAGCAGCCAUCAUUUAAAGAAAGCGUAAUAGCUCACUGGUCGAGUCGGCCUGCGCGGAAGAUGUAACGGGGCUAAACCAUGCACCGAAGCUGCGGCAGCGACGCUUAUGCGUUGUUGGGUAGGGGAGCGUUCUGUAAGCCGUUGAAGGUGGCCUGUGAGGGUUGCUGGAGGUAUCAGAAGUGCGAAUGCUGACAUAAGUAACGAUAAUGCGGGUGAAAAACCCGCACGCCGGAAGACCAAGGGUUCCUGUCCAACGUUAAUCGGGGCAGGGUGAGUCGACCCCUAAGGCGAGGCCGAAAGGCGUAGUCGAUGGGAAACAGGUUAAUAUUCCUGUACUUGGUGUUACUGCGAAGGGGGGACGGAGAAGGCUAUGUUGGCCGGGCGACGGUUGUCCCGGUUUAAGCAUGUAGGCGGAUGUUCCAGGUAAAUCCGGAACGUUAUUAACGCUGAGGUGUGAUGACGAGGCACUACGGUGCUGAAGUGACAAAUGCCCUGCUUCCAGGAAAAGCCUCUAAGCAUCAGGUAACAUCAAAUCGUACCCCAAACCGACACAGGUGGUCAGGUAGAGAAUACCAAGGCGCUUGAGAGAACUCGGGUGAAGGAACUAGGCAAAAUGGUGCCGUAACUUCGGGAGAAGGCACGCUGAUGGUAGGUGAAGUGACUUGCUCAUGGAGCUGAAAUCAGUCGAAGAUACCAGCUGGCUGCAACUGUUUAUUAAAAACACAGCACUGUGCAAACACGAAAGUGGACGUAUACGGUGUGACGCCUGCCCGGUGCCGGAAGGUUAAUUGAUGGGGUUAUCCUCGCGGAGAAGCUCUUGAUCGAAGCCCCGGUAAACGGCGGCCGUAACUAUAACGGUCCUAAGGUAGCGAAAUUCCUUGUCGGGUAAGUUCCGACCUGCACGAAUGGCGUAAUGAUGGCCAGGCUGUCUCCACCCGAGACUCAGUGAAAUUGAACUCGCUGUGAAGAUGCAGUGUACCCGCGGCAAGACGGAAAGACCCCGUGAACCUUUACUAUAGCUUGACACUGAACACUGGUCCUUGAUGUGUAGGAUAGGUGGGAGGCUUUGAAGUGUGGACGCCAGUCUGCAUGGAGCCGUCCUUGAAAUACCACCCUUUAAUGGCUGGUGUUCUAACGUGGGCCCGUGAUCGGGGUUGCGGACAGUGUCUGGUGGGUAGUUUGACUGGGGCGGUCUCCUCCUAAAGAGUAACGGAGGAGCACGAAGGUCAGCUAAUCCUGGUCGGACAUCAGGAGGUUAGUGCAAUGGCAUAAGCUGGCUUGACUGCGAGCGUGACGGCGCGAGCAGGUGCGAAAGCAGGUCAUAGUGAUCCGGUGGUUCUGAAUGGAAGGGCCAUCGCUCAACGGAUAAAAGGUACUCCGGGGAUAACAGGCUGAUACCGCCCAAGAGUUCAUAUCGACGGCGGUGUUUGGCACCUCGAUGUCGGCUCAUCACAUCCUGGGGCUGAAGUAGGUCCCAAGGGUAUGGCUGUUCGCCAUUUAAAGUGGUACGCGAGCUGGGUUUAGAACGUCGUGAGACAGUUCGGUCCCUAUCUGCCGUGGGCGCUGGAGAAUUGAGGGGGGCUGCUCCUAGUACGAGAGGACCGGAGUGGACGCAUCACUGGUGUUCGGGUUGUCAUGCCAAUGGCAUUGCCCGGUAGCUAAAUGCGGAAGAGAUAAGUGCUGAAAGCAUCUAAGCACGAAACUUGCCCCGAGAUGAGUUCUCCCUGACUCCUUGAGAGUCCUGAAGGAACGUUGAAGACGACGACGUUGAUAGGCCGGGUGUGUAAGCGCAGCGAUGCGUUGAGCUAACCGGUACUAAUGAACCGUGAGGCUUAACCUU